rnacentral:rRNA from 1 species
GUACACUCCUGCGGGAGGCAGCAGUAGGGAAUCUUCCACAAUGGGUGCAAACCUGAUGGAGCAAUGCCGCGUGAGUGAAGAAGGUCUUCGGAUCGUAAAGCUCUGUUGUUAGAGAAGAACACGUGCUAGGUAACUACUAGCGCCUUGACGGUAUCUAACCAGAAAGUCACGGCUAACUACGUGCCAGCAGCCGCGGUAAUACGUAGGUGACAAGCGUUGUCCGGAUUUAUUGGGCGUAAAGGGAGCGCAGGCGGUCUGUUUAGUCUAAUGUGAAAGCCCACGGCUUAACCGUGGAACGGCAUUGGAAACUGACAGACUUGAAUGUAGAAGAGGAAAAUGGAAUUCCAAGUGUAGCGGUGGAAUGCGUAGAUAUUUGGAGGAACACCAGUGGCGAAGGCGAUUUUCUGGUCUAACAUUGACGCUGAGGCUCGAAAGCGUGGGGAGCGAACAGGAUUAGAUACCCUUGUAGUCCCAUGAU